UACGGAGGGUGCGAGCGUUAAUCGGAAUUACUGGGCGUAAAGCGCGCGUAUGCGGCUGGGUAAGUCGGAUGUGAAAGCCCCGAGCUUAACUUGGGAACUGCAUUCGAUACUGCCCGACUAGAGUAUGGUAGAGGAAAGCGGAAUUCCCGGUGUAGCGGUGAAAUGCGUAGAUAUCGGGAGGAACAUCAGUGGCGAAGGCGGCUUUCUGGACCAAUACUGACGCUGAGGCGCGAAAGCGUGGGUAGCAAACAGG
rnacentral:rRNA from 1 species